rnacentral:rRNA from 1 species
UCUCAGUUCGGAUCGGAGUCUGNAACCCGACUCCGUGAAGCUGGAUUCGCUAGUAAUCGCGCAUCAGCCAUGGCGCGGUGAAUACGUUCCCGGGCCUUGUACACACCGCCCGUCAAGCCAUGGGAGCCGGGGGUGCUUGAAGUGCGUCGCCGCAAGGCGCGCCCUAGAGCAAAACCGGUGACUGGGGCUAAGUCGUAACAAGGUAAC